rnacentral:rRNA from 1 species
AUUGAACGCUGGCGGCAGGCCUAACACAUGCAAGUCGAACGAGUGGCGGACGGGUGAGUAAUGUCUGGGAAACUGCCCGAUGGAGGGGGAUAACUACUGGAAACGGUAGCUAAUACCGCAUACCCUCGGAUGUGCCCAGAUGGGAUUAGAUUGUAGGUGGGGUAAAGGCUCACCUAGGCGCCGAUCCCUAGCUGGUCUGAGAGGAUGACCAGCCACACGGGAAUUGGGACACGGCCCAGACUCCUACGGGAGGCAGCAGUGGGGAAUAUUGCACAAUGGGCGCAAGCCUGAGGCAGCCAUGCCGCGUGUAGGAAGAAGGCCUUCGGGUUGUAAAGUACUUUCAGCGGGGAGGCGUUACCCGCAGAAGAAGCACCGGCUAACUCCGUGCCAGCCGCCGCGGUAAUAC